AUACGUAGGGUGCGAGCGUUGUCCGGAAUUACUGGGCGUAAAGAGCUCGUAGGUGGUUUGUCGCGUCGUCUGUGAAAUUCCGGGGCUUAACUCCGGGCGUGCAGGCGAUACGGGCAUAACUUGAGUACUGUAGGGGAGACUGGAAUUCCUGGUGUAGCGGUGAAAUGCGCAGAUAUCAGGAGGAACACCGGUGGCGAAGGCGGGUCUCUGGGCAGUAACUGGCGCUGAGGAGCGAAAGCAUGGGUAGCGAACAGGAUUAGAUGCCCUGGUAGUCCAUGCCGUAAACGGUGGGCGCUAGGUGUAGGGGUCUUCCACGACUUCUGUGCCGUAGCUAACGCAUUAAGCGCCCCGCCUGGGGAGUACGGCCGCAAGGCUAAAACUCAAAUGAAUUGACGGGG
rnacentral:rRNA from 1 species